GAUGAAGAACGUAGCGAAAUGCGAUAAGUAAUGUGAAUUGCAGAGUUCAGUGAAUCAUCGAAUCUUUGAACGCACAUUGCGCCCGUCAGUAUUCUGACGGGUAUGCCUGUCCGAGCGUCAUUUCAACCCUCAAGCACUGCUUGGCGUUGGCGGAUUGCGUGCCCUCGCGGCGCUGCAACCGCCCAAAUACAGUGGCGGUCCCGCUGCGGCUCCCUUUGCGUAGUAACUCACCUCGCACUGGACCGGGCGGCGGCCUGCCGUAAAACCCCAACUCACGAAAUGUUGACCUCGGAUCAGGUAGGAAUACCCGCUGAACUUAAGCAUAUCAAUAAGCGGAGGA
rnacentral:misc_RNA from 1 species